CUGCAGGAACUAGUUACAAUAUAGCUUUGAAGUGCUAUGUUGUCGUUCCCCCUGCUUAAAUUAAAAUGUUUUUUUACUAUCCCUGUCUGUUAAAUGCCAUAGCAGCCAGGGAUGCUUGAUCUCAAACAU
rnacentral:snoRNA from 1 species